UAACCCAUGUUGAUUAGAUGA
rnacentral:piRNA from 1 species